GGAAGGAUCAAUCUAAUUUUUUUU
rnacentral:rRNA from 1 species